GAGAGGGGCUUAUUACUUCCUCGAAGAUCUAGGCACCGGUUGACACCUGGAACGGUUAAGUUUGCAGCUUUCCAUGUUCUUUCACUCGAGGGAAGCAAGGGGUUAACUGUGCUAGAACUUGCAGACAAGAUUCAAAAGUCUGGGCUUCGUGACCUGACAACAAGCAAGACACCAGAGGCAUCUAUAUCUGUUGCCUUGACUAGGGAUCAAAAGCUUUUUGAAAGAAUUGCCCCUUCAACAUAUUGCGUACGGGCUGCUUACAGAAAAGAUCCAGCUGAUGGUGAGGCAAUACUUUCAGCUGCCAGAAAGAAAAUUCAGGUAUUUGAAAAUGGGUUUUUAGGUGGAGAAGAUGCUGAUGAUGCUGAAAGAGAUGAAGAUUCUGAAGGUGAUGUUGAUGAGGACCCUGAAGUUGAUGAUUUAGCUAUUCCAUUGAGUGCUACCAGAAGUGCAGACAAGUCUAGUGAAGCAAAUACUUGCUCAGGAAGUGGAAAAAAUAGUAUCUGCAAUGGUAUUCCAUUAAUUGAACAAAAUGAGCCUGUCAAAGAAUCUUCAUCUGUCCAUCUGAAUGGUCCAAAGGAUGCAAAGACUCUAAGUAGCGUUGAGCAACGUGUUCCUCAUGGAGAUGUUGGGGUAAGAAAUAUAGAUCAGGAAAAUAUUGAGAUUGAUGAAAGCAAGUCAGGUGAAUCAUGGAUUCAAGG
rnacentral:misc_RNA from 1 species